AUACGUAGGGUGCGAGCGUUGUCCGGAAUUACUGGGCGUAAAGAGCUCGUAGGUGGUUUGUCGCGUCGUCUGUGAACUUCCGGGGCUUAACUCCGGGCGUGCAGGCGAUACGGGCAUAUCUUGAGUACUGUAGGGAGACUGGAAUUCCUGGUGUAGCGGUGAAAUGCGCAGAUAUCAGGAGGAACACCGGUGGCGAAGGCGGGUCUCUGGGCAGUAACUGACGCUGAGGAGCGAAAGCAUGGGUAGCGAACAGGAUUAGAUACCCUGGUAGUCCAUGCCGUAAACGGUGGGCGCUAGGUGUAGGGGUCUUCCACGACUUCUGUGCCGUAGCUAACGCAUUAAGCGCCCCGCCUGGGGAGUACGGCCGCAAGGCUAAAACUCAAAGGAAUUGACGGGG
rnacentral:rRNA from 1 species